rnacentral:lncRNA from 1 species
GCCUGCGGAGCGGACUUCCUAGCAUGGGCUGUUGUGCUGGAGAGAACGAGAGCUACGAAGAGACUACAGUGCCUCUGACUUUUUCAUAGGACAGUUGGCCGAGGAAGACAAACAUAAAGAUGAAGUGCUUAAUUCAAGGUCACACAAUGUCGGGGAUGGACCUCCAGAUUUCCUUACUGGAAAACAAGCUCAGGGCUCCCACUGAUUGUACAUUAUGGUGAGACGUGGUCUUGUAACACAGUGGUUAAGAAUGUGACUUUGGAGCCAGCCUGCUAGGGGCUGAAUUCUGACUCAGCCAUUUACUAACUGUGUGACCUUAGGCUGGAGUGCAAUGGCAUGAUCUCGGCUCAUCACAACCUCUGCUUCCUGGGUUCAAGCGAUUCUCCUGCCUCAGCCUCCCGAGUACCUGGGACUACAGGCACUCGCCACCAUGCCCGGCUGAUUUUUGUAUUUUUAAUAGAGAUGGUUUCACUAUGUUGGCCAGGCUGGUCUCGAACUCCUGACCUUGUGAUCUGCCCACCUCAGCCUCGAAAAGUGCUGGGAUUACAGGCGUGAGCCACUGCGCCCAGCCUUGUAUUUUUUUUCAGUUUGGGUAGCUGUCCCUAAUUCAUUUGUUAAAGGAGAAGCAAGAGCAAGAACCUUUAAUCUGUUCUCCUCUUCCCUAAUUUGAAAGUAGCUUGUUAUUUUGAAUAUCACUUUCUCUGAAAUAGCACAUCUCCAUCUCAGAGAAUGGAUUUAAUGUUUGGAUACAGCCAAAAGUCAUUUCAUUACCAAACCAUGGGGUGAAUAUACCAUGUAAAGCAGUUUGGGAUCAGAACUCACAGUCUGAAUUGUAAGUGAUGAGACUGCUGUCUCUCUGCUACAGCUUCUUGGCUGGCUCUGAAGGCUCUUUGAAGGCAGAUCCUAACAAGGGGACUGCUUUGAAGGGCCAUUGUUCAUUUGGAAUGAUAAAGUCUAUGUUGUUCAAAAAACAAAUGCUUGUAGCAGGUAUUUUUUCACUCCAGACUGAGAAUAUUGGUGGGAUAUUGAUAAGGGGUACUGAAUGGUAAUAAACAUGUGCUCUAGCUCUGUGCUAGUCAGCUUAUUUCAGAACUCUAGUUUGAUUCAGUUUCUUGCCUCUGACUCAAAAUGGAGGGAGAGUGAUUUUUACAUAAGAGAACACACCCACAUAUCCUUUUGGCAGCAGCUACCUGCCAGAGAUGUUGAAGAAGAGUAGCCAACCUUUACACAGCAGAUAUUGUGUGCCAGUCAUAGUCCUAAGUAUAAUACCUUACAUGUAUAAACUUCUUAUAAGGUUGGUGCUCUGUACCGAAUUGAAUAGUAUCCCCCAAAAUUCAUGUUGUCCCAGAACCUAUGAAAGUGAUCUUACUUGAGGGAGGGGGGAGGGGGGAGGGAUAGCAUUAGGAGAUAUACCUAAUGCUAAAUGACGAGUUAAUGGGUGUAGCACACCAGCAUGGCACAUG